GACGAACGCUGGCGGCGUGCCUAAUACAUGCAAGUAGGACGCAGUUGCGAACGGGUGAGUAACGCGUAGGUAACUACCUAUUAGAGGGGGAUAACUAUUGGAUACGAUAGCUAAUACCGCAUACUAGUAGAUGGAUCUGCGUUGUAUUAGCUAGUAGGUAGGGUAAUGGCCUACCUAGGCAACGAUACAUCGCCGACCUGGGUGGGUGAUCCGCCACACUGGGACUGGGACACGGCCCAGACGCCUACGGGGGGCAGCAAUAGGGAAUCUUCGGCAAUGGGGGGAAACCUGACCGAGCAACGCCGGGUGGGUGGAGAAGGUUUUCGGAUCGUAAAGCUCUGUUGUUAAGGAAGCGUUACUUAACCAGAAAGGGACGGCUAACUACGUGCCAGCAGCCGCGGUAAUAC
rnacentral:rRNA from 1 species